UACGUAGGUGACCAGCGUUGUCCGGAUUUACUGGGCGUAAAGAGCGCGCAGGCGGUCGUUCAAGUCGAGUGUGAAAGCCCCCGGCUCAACUGGGGAGGGUCACUCGAUACUGAUCGACUUGAAGGCAGGAGAGGGAAGCGGAAUUCCCGGUGUAGUGGUGAAAUGCGUAGAGAUCGGCAGGAACACCCAGGGGGAAACCAGCCGACUGGGCAUCUGCUGACGCUGAGGUGCGAGAGCGUGGGGAGCGAACCGG
rnacentral:rRNA from 1 species